AAUGAACGUUGGCGGCGUGGAUUAGGCAUGCAAGUCGUGCGGUAAGGCUCCUUCGGGAGUACACGAGCGGCGAAAGGGACAGUAAUAUGUGGAUCACGUACCUUGGGGUCCGGAAUAGCUGCGGGAAACUGCAGGUAAUGCCGGAUGAUCUCUACGGAGCAAAGGUGAGAUUCCGCCCUUAGAGCGGUCCACAUCCUAUUAGCUAGUUGGUGGGGUAAAGGCCUACCAAGGCGAUGAUGGGUAGCGGGUGUGAGAGCACGACCCGCGUCACUGGGACUGAGAUACUGCCCAGACACCUACGGGUGGCUG
rnacentral:rRNA from 1 species